GGAGAGAUGGCCGAGUGGUUAAAGGCGACAGACUGUAAAUCUGUUCCCGCACGGGUUCGGAGGUUCGAAUCCUCCUCUCUCCACCA
rnacentral:tRNA from 1 species